CGCAUCUGUGCAUGCAGCAUAUCAAUAAGCGGAGGAAAAGAUACUAACAAGGAUUCCCCUAGUAACGGCGAGUGAAGCGGGAAGAGCUCAAAUUUGAAAUCUUAAAGGGUUUCCCUUUACGAAUUGUAGUUUAAAGAAGUGUUUUCUGUUGAGGUUUUGGUAAAAGUUCUUUGGAAUAGGACAUCAUAGAGGGUGAGAAUCCCGUAUUUGACCUUUACUUUCAACUUUGUGAUACACUUUCAAAGAGUCGGAUUGUUUGGGAAUGCAGUCCAAAAUGGGCGGUAAAUUUCAUCUAAAGCUAAAUAUUGGCGAGAGACCGAUAGCGAACAAGUACCGUGAGGGAAAGAUGAAAAGAACUUUGAAAAGAGAGUUAAACAGUACGUGAAAUUGUCAAAAGGGAAGCGUUUGACACCAGUGUUGUUUUUCUGAAAAUCAAUUAAAGAACUGUUUAUGCUAAGCUGUUUAGACUUUAUCAGCUAACUGUUUAGUUUUGAGCUUUUCUUUAAUGCACUUUUCAGUUAACAAGUCAACAUCAAUUUCUUUUGCUGUAAAAAAGCUUGAGGAAGGUGGCUUGAGAUUCGUCUUAAGUGUUUAUAGCCUCUUGCCUAGUGCAGUCGGAGAGAUUGAGGUCUGCAGCGUAGAUCCUUCGGGGCUAAAUGCAUUUGUGCUAAGUUAUAGCAUUUUAUAGACAACUUGUUGACUAUGAUUUGUCUUGUAGCUUACUCGCUUAUGUUAUUUUACCUACGCUUAGGAUGUUGAACGCGCACAGAGUCUC
rnacentral:rRNA from 1 species